rnacentral:lncRNA from 1 species
AGUACACAAAAAGACAGGUGUACCUGUAUGUCCAGUUCUUGUGUUAACAUUGAAAAGGAUGAGACACUACAGAGCACAUUCAGGACAAAAAAAAUGCACCCAAGGAAGAACAGCAAUGAACAGCCUCCAGGGGUAGCAUAUCAAUCAUUUGUUGUGAUUCUAUUUGUAUGAUAAGACUUUCAACAUUCAGAGUGUUUUGCAAAUUGAUAACUUGUACGAACGGAGUUUACUAUUAAGAUCAUAAUACACUGCAAAGAAAUCCCUGAACAUAAGCCAUUUGUUACGGGGGAAACUACUACCCAAAAAUGUGAAGAACACAAUAAAAAUGUCUUCCUACUACCGCUAAAAUCUGCAUGCUGAAAUUAUUUUGCCUUUGAUACUAAUUCUUCUGGAACCAAACAUCAAGCAUUCUAACUGUUUUAAGAUUUGUAUAUUUCAGGUCACUGUGGACAGUAAGCAGUUCACAACAGUUUUACUUUGAUACUUAGAUAUCUUGUCAAAGAAGCAGAAGUCUUGUGAAUGAAGCAGAGUCAUAUUUCCAUUCACAACUCAAUUACUCUGAGUUCGACUGCUUUAUCUUCAAUGUGUCCAACUGUCACAACAUGUUCCAUACCUUCCCGGAAAAACCCAUGAGAGCCUUGUUGGCCUUUUUUUCCCACAGAAACUUACUGCACAUUCCUUCUUGUCAAUCUACUGUGCAUUCCCACAUGGACUUUUUUACCAUAACAGAAUGUUUAUUCACUGUGUUAGGCCUAAUAAGACCUGUUGAUUACAUUGCCUGCACUGUACAAAUCAUGACAAAAUUGGCAAAAUCUGACAAAAACAGAGACAAAAUCUGACUAAUUCAACCAAAUCUGCUACAAGGACGACGAACCCCUACAGGAAAAGCCCCGAUACAAUGUGUACAGCUUUAUCGGGGCAUGCUUCACUGUGUGUGCGCGGCAUCCUGCCGUACUGUGCGCAGGAAGCUGGAACAAUACAACCAUUUUUGUGUGCCUGCUAUUGAUCUCUGUGUAGGCAGUAGUCUAGUUUGUAUGUUUAGCAUGGUUGAGGUCAAUCUACAUUGUGUUCCAGUUGAACUUUUUUGCACCCCUGCUAAUUUACCGUGGCUGUGCGGAAAUCUUCUGCGACCCUUUUCAGCCUGGUAGUUUUACACUGCGAUUGUGACACUAGUGUCACAAGAUGACCAGAGGAACAACCAGUCCAUGAACUCAGCCAGGUGUCCAAUGUUCUGGAAACUCCAACACCAUAUCAGGCUGGUGACCAUCAACUUGAAGGAACCUCCUGCAGUGGCGAUAUUGGGCCAUAUGCCAAGGAAGAUGGUAUCUACCGGAGGCACUUCGCUCAGGAUGGACCAAGCUUUCCAGUGCAAACCCACAUCAAGAAUGGACUCGUCCUUGAACUGCACAGCUACAUGUACAUUCAAACAGAACUAUCAUCGAAUUUGUUAGUAUACUAAAACUAAAAUCACAAGUGUGGUACGAGUCAAAGCUCUGUGAUAUGAAAGUGACAGUUGGCAUUGCACUCAAAGGGCUGUAAAAAUCCACAGAAUUCCUUAUUAAAGGUUAUUAAUAUGCAAAUCAUUUUCACGUAAUUGAACUUUCAUCUGUAGUUUCUGAGGAGUACAGGGUAUGUCAAAUACAUUAGGAGUAUACCGUACAAGUACAUGUGGCAUUGAUCCUCAAAAACCCCGAUCACUGGUGCUGUACUGUUAAAAAAGGAUGAAUAAUUAUAUAUGCAAAUUGAUCAAUUUUACGCAUUGCAUAUAUUGAUUAAUUAAUUAGAAAAUGGCUUUUUUUUUUAAAUAAGACAAACAGUAAUGUUUACCAACAUACGUGCAACCACCACAUCAGAAAUCUAAUCGAAGUCUACAGCUGCCAGGAGUCAGGACAUCUCGUUUUAUUGACAUAUAUAUCAAUUAAAUAUGCGAAUCAGGUACACAUUUGUAUUUUAAAUGUGGAAAUUUGUAGCAGUGAUGUGCAAAUUUGUAAGAAUGCCAAGUUUGACAGAAAUAAAAUGUGUCCUUCCAAAGUA